rnacentral:rRNA from 1 species
UACGUAGGGUGCGAGCGUUUAAUCGGAAUUACUGGGCGUAAAGCGUGCGCAGGCGGUCUGUUAAGACCGAUGUGAAAUCCCCGGCUUAACCUGGGAACUGCAUUGGUGACUGGCAGGCUUUGAGUGUGGCAGAGGGAGGUAGAAUUCCACGUGUAGCAGUGAAAUGCGUAGAGAUGUGGAGGAAUACCGAUGGCGGAAGGCAGCCUCCUGGGCCAACACUGACGCUCAUGCACGAAAGCGUGGGGAGCAAACAGG